UCAACCUCAUUUAUAUUGUAAUAAAUGAUAUACCACAUAUACUGCAAGCUCUACUUCAGAUCUUACUUGAAUGUUAACUUAUACGUGUAGAUAUGCACAAUGAGGACCAGUUUGGAUCCAAACUUUCUGAUAAAAGAGUGGUGGAUUUUUGCUGCUGCCAGCUAACUGUCUUGCCAACAAUGAUUGCCAUUUUUAUGCCUUGCCAACAAUGAUUACUAUUCUAUGCCUUAUCAACAAUGAUUGCCAGUUUUAUGUCUUACCAUUUGCAUGUUGCUAUAAAUAAAAUCAUUGCUGAAAAAUAGUACUUUAGAAAAAUACAAAUGCUUUAUUCCAGUAUAGACAUUUUUUUUCAAGGGAUGACAAAAAAUAACCUUUCCUUAACAUUCCUAUUUUUCUAUACAUCGACUUCUUUGAAGGAAUGACACAGUUUUACAUGAACCUGUUAAUUAGUUGCAGUUGACAGUAAACGCAGCAACACAUUUACAACAUGAAAGACUAGAAUAUAAUUAAAUGACUAUUAUAUC